AAGAUUGUUUCAGGGACUCCCAGCAUGCGCCUUUGGGCUUGAGUUUCCCUGCAAGGAGAGGGACUGUUAUCCUGUGUGGUACCUGAUGGAGCCGAACUCGGGGAGAUGGUGUUUUGAGAUACAGCAACUGAAUGACUCUUGACUACCUGUGAUGGUACUUCAGAUCACCCGUGAUAACCAGGUGAUGGGAUUCCAGCACCUGCCUGGCAUCUCCUGUCCCUGCAAAAACAACCCAAAUUCCUGCCAUGUCCUGAGGGUUUCCUGAUAGAUCACUGGUCACAGGAAAGAAGUGCACCAAAGGGCUCGACUGGAUCAUUCUUCAGCUGCUUUGAUUGAAACUAAGGAUGUUUUUCCCCAACGCUAAGUCAACGAGCAGCUCUGCCAAACUGACGUCUGCUGACAGCGUGUUUGCCUGGGACAGCAUAAAAACACCACCUCGAGCCAAAGUAGAAAAUAUCCAUCUUCAGAGCAAGAGACGUGAGCCAGGGGCAGCUCUGCACCUCUCCAACGCGAUUAGCAAACCGGACAUGAAUCGCUUCAUUAAAGCCGAACAACCCUGGGCAACCACAUCAUUAGAAAAAGAGCCAGGAAAUCCUAUCGCGGGGGCAAACCAGAGACAUUCCCCAGAGCCUCUCUCUUCAAAACGCGGUGACCUUCUGCUCGCUUGCUCCCCAGCUCCUGCUGCUUCGCUGCCCGGUGAAAGCCCCGUGCGAUGCGCGGUGGGGUCGGGCUUUAUUGCCUCCAUCCCCUCCGCGGGGGGCCCGUUUUCUCAAAGCCCCGGCUCGCCGUGUCCAGCCCUGCCCGCUUGUAAAAAGGACUUUGCAGCAAAGCAAAGUGACAGGUGAACAAUCCCACGCGAGCAGCUCCUGUCCUGUGGGUGAUGAAUGGCCAGGGUUGGGGUCUUGGGCGAGCGGAGGGGACAGCGGUGCUGGGCUGUUGCAAAUGAGCUGCCGUUAAACUUGUUAUUAUUUAUCUGGUAUAUUUAUACUGAAGAUAAAACCCUCAAUGUCUAUAUGAAAUCACUCUUCAUAUUGUUACGGCACUGCGAUAAUGUUAUAUCUCUCUAUAUACGCUACCAAACUUUAAAUGUUUUAUGUACAAAUACUAAUAGCAAGGGGGUUUCUUUCCUUACUCAGACCUGAAUGCCCCAUUGGUGUUUUCACAGCCGUUCCACUGUGGCUUCUUCCUACUCAGCCUCUCGUUAUAUCUUACCAGUACAUUCUUGCUCCUGGUGCUGUGACGAUCCUGGAUUUGUGCUCUGUCUCCUGGAAAAAUCCUGCCCCGAGUCCUUUUUGGGUCCCAGCUCCUUAAAAACCUCUUUGCAAAUCCCACAAAAUUUUGUCUGCAAAUAAAACUAGAAGUUUUGCCUCAAUAGAGCUGGAUUUAACCUGUUGUUGCCUUUAUCAGCCGCUCUGGGAAGAAAAUCAGGUUGAAAGAUAGUCAGGUGCUUGGCAAAUAUUCCCCUCCUCUCUGCAUUUCAGCUCUAACAUCAAUGACUCUCCGUCUGUUGGUUCAGUCCAUAUUAGCUGUGUGUGGAUUUGCAUGCUGCUAUUAAUUGCAGAGCAAAUUAAGCUUCUUCAGACCAUAUGUUGCUGUUAUAGUGUAAACAAAUAUGUUAUUAGCCACUGUAAAAAAUAAAAAUUAAAGCACAGUUGGACUAAUAUUAUUGCAAAGAGAUUAAAUACCGACAUCUAAAAAAUUGGCAGUAUUUCCACAAUGGGACUUUUGUCGUGUAAUGCUGUAUCUACUGGGAUUAUCCUUUUAAAAAAUUGGCAGUGUCCUCAGAAAGUGCAGCUUCUUGUUUAUAUUUUUUCUUUUUAUUUUCUAUUUUUGGCAGCCUCUCGAAGGAAAAAAUAUAAAUCUCUUUGCCAUUUCCAGGCUUGGAGAACUUUUGUCUUUAUGCAGCAAAGUACCAGUUGUGUAAGCGACAAGAUUUCUCCACUCAGCAUCCUGGGGACACCCAUCGAUCAAUGACAGGGAAUUGAAGUUAGAGGAGAGAGGGGUGACUUGGAAAAUAAACUCUUCACGUUGAACUGACGAAGUGGGAAACAUCCGCUGCUGGCCCAUCUCCACCGGCUCGGAUGGAGUUGUGCCAGCACGGAGUUUGGCCCGGUGUCUUUCGACUCAUUAUUCUUUCAUUGGUUAUUUGCUGGAGUUUAUUGAAAGCUGGAGUUUUACAUCUGCUGUCUCCCAGACUUUCUUUCCUCCUCUGAUGAACACGCUUUGUUUUCAUAUUUGGCUUUCACAAGGCUUGCGGGCCCCAGUUUAAUGGCGAACAGGUUUUUUGGGGGGAGUUGUUGGCCACGUGCACACACACACACAGGUAUAUACGAGGUUUGUUAUUCUAGAGAUGCUCAUCAGCAGUGAGGUAUUUUUAUGUAGCUAGAAAAAAUUAAACGCAGGAAAGUUUGUUGUGAAGGAAAACCAGCAUGUAUUAAAUGAUUCACUUUUUUUCUUCUUCGGUUUUAGCAGAG